rnacentral:rRNA from 1 species
GAUGAACGCUAGCGGGAGGCUUAACACAUGCAAGUCGAGGGGUAAAUGGUAGCAAUACUAUGAGACCGGCGGACGGGUGCGUAACGCGUAUGCAACAUACCUUGUGCAGGGGGAUAGCCCGUGGAAACGCGGAUUAAUAUUCCAUAGUCCAGCUAUAUCGCAUGGUAUAGUUGGUAAAGAUUUAUCGGCACAAGUUUGGCAUGCGUCUGAUUAGCUUGUUGGUAGGGUAACGGCCUACCAAGGCUACGAUCAGUAGGGGUUCUGAGAGGAUUAACCCCCACACUGGUACUGAGACACGGACCAGACUCCUACGGGAGGCAGCAGUGAGGAAUAUUGGUCAAUGGGCGGAAGCCUGAACCAGCCAUCCCGCGUGAAGGAAGACAGCCUUACGGGUUGUAAACUUCUUUUCUGUCAGAAGAAUAAGCUUGUCGAGACGAGUGAUGCCGGUAUGACAGGAAUAAGCAUCGGCUAACUCCGUGCCAGCAGCCGAC